rnacentral:rRNA from 1 species
AUUGAACGCUGGCGGCAGGCCUAACACAUGCAGGUCGAGCGGAUGAAGGGAGCUUGCUCCUGGAUUCAGCGGCGGACGGGUGAGUAAUGCCUAGGAAUCUGCCUGGUAGUGGGGGAUAACGUCCGGAAACGGGCGCUAAUACCGCAUACGUCCUGAGGGAGAAAGUGGGGGAUCUUCGGACCUCACGCUAUCAGAUGAGCCUAGGUCGGAUUAGCUAGUUGGUGGGGUAAAGGCCUACCAAGGCGACGAUCCGUAACUGGUCUGAGAGGAUGAUCAGUCACACUGGAACUGAGACACGGUCCAGACUCCUACGGGAGGCAGCAGUGGGGAAUAUUGGACAAUGGGCGAAAGCCUGAUCCAGCCAUGCCGCGUGUGUGAAGAAGGUCUUCGGAUUGUAAAGCACUUUAAGUUGGGAGGAAGGGCAGUAAGUCAAUACCUUGCUGUUUUGACGUUACCAACAGAAUAAGCACCGGCUAACUUCGUG